GACGUAGGGCGCGAGCGUUGUCCGGAUUUAUUGGGCGUAAAGCGCGCGUAGGCGGCCCGUUCAGUCGGAUGUGAAAACCCGUGGCUCAACCACGGGCCUGCAUCCGAUACUGGCGGGCUCGAGGCAGGCAGGGGAGAUCGGAAUUCCUGGUGUAGCGGUGAAAUGCGCAGAUAUCAGGAGGAACACCGGUGGCGAAGGCGGAUCUCUGGGCCUGUCCUGACGCUCAGGCGCGAAAGCUAGGGGAGCAAACAGG
rnacentral:rRNA from 1 species